UACGUAGGCAGCAAGCGUUGUUCGGAGUUACUGGGCGUAAAGGGUGCGUAGGCGGUCGGGUAAGUCUGACGUGAAAUCUUCAAGCUCAACUUGGAAACUGCGUCGGAUACUAUUCGGCUAGAGGAAUGGAGGGGAGACUGGAAUACUUGGUGUAGCAGUGAAAUGCGUAGAUAUCAAGUGGAACACCAGUGGCGAAGGCGAGUCUCUGGACAUUUCCUGACGCUGAGGCACGAAAGCCAGGGGAGCAAACGGG
rnacentral:rRNA from 1 species